CUGAGGGAUAGCUCAGUUGGUAGAGCGAGAGUCUCUUAAUCUCAGGGCUGUGGGUUUGAGCACUACACUGAGUGAAAGA